rnacentral:rRNA from 1 species
AGCGAACGCUGGCGGCAGGCUUAACACAUGCAAGUCGAACGCAUCCUUCGGGGUGAGUGGCAGACGGGUGAGUAACACGUGGGAACGUACCCUUCGAUCUGGGAUAACUUCGGGAAACUGGAGCUAAUACCGGAUACGCCCUUUUGGGGAAAGGUUUACUGUCGAAGGAUCGGCCCGCGUCUGAUUAGCUAGUUGGUGGGGUAACGGCCUACCAAGGCGACGAUCAGUAGCUGGUCUGAGAGGAUGAUCAGCCACACUGGGACUGAGACACGGCCCAGACUCCUACGGGAGGCAGCAGUGGGGAAUAUUGGACAAUGGGCGCAAGCCUGAUCCAGCCAUGCCGCGUGAGUGAUGAAGGCCUUAGGGUUGUAAAGCUCUUUUGUCCGGGACGAUAAUGACGGUACCGGAAGAAUAAGCCCCGGCUAACUUCG